rnacentral:rRNA from 1 species
CAGUCGCCGCGGUAAUACAGAGGGUGCGAGCGUUAAUCGGAUUUACUGGGCGUAAAGCGUGCGUAGGCGGCUUUUUAAGUCGGAUGUGAAAUCCCUGAGCUUAACUUAGGAAUUGCAUUCGAUACUGGGAAGCUAGAGUAUGGAAGAGGAUGGUAGAAUUCCAGGUGUAGCGGUGAAAUGCGUAGAGAUCUGGAGGAAUACCGAUGGCGAAGGCAGCCAUCUGGCCUAAUACUGACGCUGAGGUACGAAAGCAUGGGGAGCAAACAGGAUUAGAUACCCCGGUAGUCCCUGUCUCUUAUAC